GUGAAUACCGGGAGAUGCUCGUCCGCGCGCGGGAUUCAUUCUCAGCGAAUUAUCGAGAGAUCUUGCGAAUAUCACGUACUCACUUCACUUUGCCGUGUGGCGCCAUUCCCGACCGGUCGCGACACGCACCGGUAGCAAGCACCGAUGAUCACCGCGUUCAAUCGCGCACCGCCGAGCCGACGAAUACUCCAAACGCUCGCCUGUCCUUAGAUUCAGCGCUGCCGACACUCGCCUGUUUACGAUAUUCACUUCCGACGGGUUAAAAGACGCGACGAACACGAAGCGGCCGCGAGCCGUAUUCGCGGCGUGUGGAGCCAGCCACUACUGUGAACGCAGUCAAGCGUUGAUACUUGAAGAAACUCAAUCGCAGCAAUGUUCAAUUCGCUGGGCGGAACGAGUCGCAACACGUCGUCUCUCGUGCAAGGAGGAGGCUGCUCCGUAUUUCUUGCGGUUUAAACACGCCGAAAGUGAGUCCUGCGUGUGAAUUAUCGUUCCCAGGAACGCCGGGAGUGAGUGCCGCGCAUUCGUUGCGACGAGAUAGCCGCCGGGGGUGAUAUUUUGCGAAACUGACUGUUGAGGCUGCCGAGCACUGGUCGAGAACGAAACAUCGUCGGAUAGAUGCGGCCGUUAUACGGAUGGGUCAUCCGAGACGCCGAGUAGAGCAUAAUAUAUACGCAUCUCAGUAUAGCGGUAGAAUUCAAACCGCCGUUUUCAACCCACACCAAGAAGACGAACGUUCAUUAAUUGGCUGAAUUGCUUACGGUGAAUAAAAAUAAACAACGCUGUUCAAAUUACUAUCAUUGCUGGAUCGAUUAUGCAGCGCACACUCGCACACAGACACAGUACCGCUUUGAAUGAACGGAUUUCUCUCGUAAUAACACUGUAUAAUGUUCUACAACGCUAAAGUGUAUAGCUCACAUUAAAUACAAAAUUGGCACGCGAUUAACUAACUGUAUUAAUGUACGACACGGAUUACAUGAGAGAAAUCUAUUCGUUCCGUGUUGCCUUAAAAUUUCGACCUCAUAAAUCAUUAUACAACGCCCCAAAGCUAUCUCCACGUUAUAUACGAACAGUAAUAUUAAUCAAAGAAUAGAAAACGCAAUUGAUCAUAUAAACUACUUUCUCUUCGUCUCUCCCUGAAUUACGCGACGGUUUCUAUUUUUUGAACAAAUAAUAAACACGACAUAUAUAAUAAACACAUUUUCUCAAGUUAGCUAUAAUUUUUGAAAUUCUCUAACUUCACAGGACUUAUUCCGUACACGUAUAGAGGAUUCAGUCUUAUUAUAAGAAUAUUAGAAAGAAUUAAGGGAGACAUGAGAAAGAUUCAUGAGAUGAGGUCAAGAGCGGACGACAGUCGAAACGCAGUUUUACACAAAACACUGUACACCGUACAUGAAAUAAAAAUCGAUUAUAAUCUCGCGUACAUCUCACCCUGUCGUGCAACUCGGAGGAGCGAUUUUCAUGUGAAUUCGUGACUACUGUCUAUCUGUGUGCUACUUAAAAUUAGAUGAGAGAGCGAUACUCACGGCCAUGUUGACGAGCACGAUGUUGUUGGACGUCCACAUUACAUUCAUGUUCUUAAGGACCGUAAGGAUGACCAAUAAAUUCAGGAAAAAGCCGAAGAAGCCGGUGAAGAAGAGUACAAUCGC